ACGUCAAUGGUGUAAAUGGCAAGCAUUAAAGACUCCAACUCUUUAGAUUCUGGUUCAAGUCCAGAUUGGCGUG
rnacentral:tRNA from 1 species